GACUCUCGACAACGGAUAUCUCGGCUCUCGCAUCGAUGAAGAACGUAGUGAAAUGCGAUACUUGGUGUGAAUUGCAGAAUCCCGUGAACCAUCGAGUCUUUGAACGCAAGUUGCGCCCGAAGCCGUUAGGCCGAGGGCACGUCUGCCUGGGCGUCU
rnacentral:rRNA from 1 species